rnacentral:ncRNA from 1 species
CGAAAACCAAUGACGAAGAAAAGUAAUUAAGAUCCGUAUGAAAAGAGAGGAAAUGUCUCAGGCUGAAAACAUUUCUACAUAUUGGCUUAAUGAAAGAACACUUUGUAGGUUUUGUCUUGAACAAGGGACAUCCUUUAAUAGGGACAAACGUUUGCAGGCGUUAACUGUAAAAGUGGAAGCUUUUUGCUUCAAUUAGGGUGGCACCACGGGAAACAUACUCUCGUCCCUUGU